AUUGAACACUGGCGGAAUGCUUUACACAUGCAAGUCGAACGGCAGCACGGACUUCGGUCUGGUGGCGAGUGGCGAACGGGUGAGUAAUACAUCGGAACGUGCCCAGUCGUGGGGGAUAACGUAGCGAAAGCUACGCUAAUACCGCAUACGAUCUAAGGAUGAAAGCGGGGGAUCGCAAGACCUCGCGCGAUUGGAGCGGCCGAUGGCAGAUUAGGUAGUUGGUAGGGUAAAGGCCUACCAAGCCGACGAUCUGUAGCUGGUCUGAGAGGAUGAGCAGCCACACUGGGACUGAGACACGGCCCAGACUCCUACGGGAGGCAGCAGUGGGGAAUUUUGGACAAUGGGCGCAAGCCUGAUCCAGCCAUUCCGCGUGCAGGAUGAAGGCCUUCGGGUUGUAAACUGCUUUUGUACAGAACGAAAAGGCUCUGGUUAAUACCCGGGGCUCAUGACGGUACUGUAAGAAUAAGCACCGGCUAACUACGUGCCAGCAGCCGCCGUAA
rnacentral:rRNA from 1 species